AGUGAACGCUGGCGGUAGGCCUAACACAUGCAAGUCGAACGGCAGCACAGUAAGAGCUUGCUCUUACGGGUGGCGAGUGGCGGACGGGUGAGGAAUACAUCGGAAUCUACUUUUUCGUGGGGGAUAACGUAGGGAAACUUACGCUAAUACCGCAUACGACCUACGGGUGAAAGCAGGGGAUCUUCGGACCUUGCGCGAUUGAAUGAGCCGAUGUCGGAUUAGCUAGUUGGCGGGGUAAAGGCCCACCAAGGCGACGAUCCGUAGCUGGUCUGAGAGGAUGAUCAGCCACACUGGAACUGAGACACGGUCCAGACUCCUACGGGAGGCAGCAGUGGGGAAUAUUGGACAAUGGGCGCAAGCCUGAUCCAGCCAUACCACGUGGGUGAAGAAGGCCUUCGGGUUGUAAAGCCCUUUUGUUGGGAAAGAAAAGCAGCAGGUUAAUACCCCGCUGUUCUGACGGUACCCAAAGAAUAAGCAUCGGCUAACUUCGUG
rnacentral:rRNA from 1 species